GGUGCUGCAUGGCCGUCGUCAGCUUGUGCCGUGAGGUGUUGGGUUAAGUCCCGCAACGAGCGCAACCCCGCCGUUAGUUGCCAGCGGUUCGGCCGGGCACUCUAACGGGACUGCCCGCGAAAGCGGGAGGAAGGAGGGGACGACGUCUGGUCAGCAUGGCCCUUACGGCCUGGGCGACACACGUGCUACAAUGCCCACUACAAAGCGAUGCCACCCGGCAACGGGGAGCUAAUCGCAAAAAGGUGGGCCCAGUUCGGAUUGGGGUCUGCAACCCGACCCCAUGAAGCCGGAAUCGCUAGUAAUCGCGGAUCAGCCAUGCCGCGGUGAAUACGUUCCCGGGCCUU
rnacentral:rRNA from 1 species